rnacentral:rRNA from 1 species
CGUAACGCAGCGUACACAUGCAGUCGAGCGGAAACGAUCCUAGCUUGCUAGGAGGCGUCGAGCGGCGGACGGGUGAGUAAUGCAUAGGAAUCUGCCCGGUAGUGGGGGAUAACCUGGGGAAACCCAGGCUAAUACCGCAUACGCCCUACGGGGGAAAGCAGGGGAUCUUCGGACCUUGCGCUAUCGGAUGAGCCUAUGUCGGAUUAGCUUGUUGGUGAGGUAAUGGCUCACCAAGGCGACGAUCCGUAGCUGGUCUGAGAGGAUGAUCAGCCACAUCGGGACUGAGACACGGCCCGAACUCCUACGGGAGGCAGCAGUGGGGAAUAUUGGACAAUGGGCGAAAGCCUGAUCCAGCCAUGCCGCGUGUGUGAAGAAGGCUUUCGGGUUGUAAAGCACUUUCAGUGAGGAAGAAUGCCUUGGGCCUAAUACGCCCGAGGAAAGACAUCACUCACAGAAGAAGCACCGGCUAACUCCGUGCCAGCAGCCGCGGUAAUACGGAGGGUGCGAGCGUUAAUCGGAAUUACUGGGCGUAAAGCGCGCGUAGGUGGCUUGAUAAGCCGGUUGUGAAAGCCCCGGGCUCAACCUGGGAACGGCAUCCGGAACUGUCA